rnacentral:pre_miRNA from 1 species
AAUAAGUGCAGUUUUGCUUCAUGUUAAACGUUUGAAUUUAUUUUAUGAUUAGUAUCUUUACUGUUGUAGAUGAUAAAUUAUGAAUAAUAUUUUAUGUGUGACUAUUUUUUUAAAAAAAAAUUUCAUAAAUUUUUUAAAUAAGACGAAUGGUCAAAUGUUGAACACAAAUCCCACAGCUACACUUAUU